rnacentral:rRNA from 1 species
AUUGAACGCUGGCGGCAUGCUUUACACAUGCCAGUCGAACGGUAACAGGCCUUCGGGUGCUGAUGAGUGGCGAACGGGUGAGUAAUGCAUCGGAACGUACCCAGAGGUGGGGGAUAACGCAGCGAAAGCUGUGCUAAUACCGCAUGUGAUCUGAGGAUGAAAGCGGGGGACCGAGCAGCAAUGUUUGGCCUCGCGCCUUUGGAGCGGCCGAUGUCGGAUUAGCUAGUUGGUGGGGUAAAGGCCUACCAAGGCGACGAUCCGUAGCUGGUCUGAGAGGACGACCAGCCACACUGGGACUGAGACACGGCCCAGACUCCUACGGGAGGCAGCAGUGGGGAAUUUUGGACAAUGGGCGCAAGCCUGAUCCAGCAAUGCCGCGUGCGGGAAGAAGGCCUUCGGGUUGUAAACCGCUUUUGGCAGGAACGAAACGGUGUCCGCUAAUACCGGGCGCUAAUGACGGUACCUGCAGAAUAAGCACCGGCUAACUACGUG